GACGGUGACGUUAAGCAAAUCCCAGAAAUAACGUCCCAGUUCGGAUUGUAGUCUGCAACCCGACUACACGAAGCUGGAAUCGCUAGUAAUCGCGAAUCAGAAUGUCGCGGUGAAUACGUUCCCGGGUCUUGUACACACCGCCCGUCACACCAUGGGAGUCGGAAAUGCCCGAAGUCAGUGACCCAACCGUAAGGAGGGAGCUGCCGAAGGUGGAGCCGGUAACUGGGGUGAAGUCGUAACAAGGUAAC
rnacentral:rRNA from 1 species